GGCACCAACACACCAAGCUGACUUGGAUCCUGCAGGGAGCUGAAAGACAACAGGAAGAUUCUCUGAAUUCUGUACGUCAGGUAAACGUUCCUACUUCAGCUGAGCACGUUGGUUCCACAGUAGCAGAGCAGGAAAAACAACGUUACAAGAAACAAUUUGUAAGAAGAAAAGUGGAAGAUGUCUGGAACCAAGCAGCACAAGUGGGAAAAAACAUUCCAUCCUGGUAACAGGAAUGUUACAUUAACAUUAGAGGGAGAUAAAACACCAACAACAUUCAUAAAUCGGUGGAGACAUGAAACUUCUGAGAAUAAACUUGACAUAUCCAAAAAACCAUCAAUAUCACCUGGAAGUGUGUCAGUGAGCCCAUCUGGUUUAAUUGAUAUAAUUGAUACAUAUGACAGAUCAGCUGAGGCUUCAGACCAGUUCUGGACUUGAAAUAUCUCAACAAACACAUACGCUCAGUAUGGUUCAAAAUGGAGACUCUGCGGUCAGUAAUUCGAGGAAAGGAACCCAAAGGGGUUGAGGCAAAAAUCUUAGGCACCGGGAUUAGACUUGGACCCAAUCCAAGUAUCUCUUUGUUUGGGUCAGAACUUUCUUGUGUUAUUUCAUAAGAUCCACUAGGAUCUACUUAUCAAGGUCCAAAAAUGCAGCUUUUUGAUUCCAUAGUGAAAAUACCCCAUAACAAUUAUAAAGCCUGCAAGUCAUUCUAUAUAUAUAUAUAAUACACAAAAGCCAUGAAUAUCCUGUAAAUUAUAUCCUUAUAAAUGGUG